CCAGACUCCUACGGGAGGCAGCAGUGAGGAAUAUUGGUCAAUGGGCUUACGCCUGAACCAGCCAAGUCGCGUGAGGGAAGACUGCCCUAUGGGUUGUAAACCUCUUUUGUCAGGGAGCAACGCCGGCUACGUGUAGCCGGACUGAGAGUACCUGAAGAAAAAGCAUCGGCUAACUCCGUGCCAGCAGCCGCGGUAAUACGGAGGAUGCGAGCGUUAUCCGGAUUUAUUGGGUUUAAAGGGUGCGUAGGCUGUGAGGUAAGUCAGCGGUGAAAUGCCCCCGCUCAACGGGGUGAAGUGCCAUUGAUACUGCCUUGCUGGAAUGCGGAUGCCGUGGGAGGAAUGUGUGGUGUAGCGGUGAAAUGCAUAGAUAUCACGCAGAACGCCGAUUGCGAAGGCAGCUUACCGGCGCUCAACUGACGCUGAGGCACGAAAGUGCGGGUAUCGAACAGGAUUAGAUACCCCAGUA
rnacentral:rRNA from 1 species